rnacentral:rRNA from 1 species
AUGAACGCUGGCGGCGUGCCUAAUACAUGCAAGUCGAGCGAACAGGCGAGGAGCUUGCUCCUCUGACGUUAGCGGCGGACGGGUGAGUAACACGUGGAUAACCUACCUAUAAGACUGGGAUAACUUCGGGAAACCGGAGCUAAUACCGGAUAAUAUAUUGAACCGCAUGGUUCAAUAGUGAAAGACGGUUUUGCUGUCACUUAUAGAUGGAUCCGUGCCGCAUUAGCUAGUUGGUAAGGUAACGGCUUACCAAGGCAACGAUGCGUAGCCG